UGGGGAAUAUUGGACAAUGGGCGCAAGCCUGAUCCAGCAAUGCCGCGUGUGUGAAGAAGGCCUUCGGGUUGUAAAGCACUUUUGUUCGGGAAGAAAUCCGUGAGGUUAAUACCCUUACGGGAUGACGGUACCGAAAGAAUAAGCACCGGCUAACUUCGUGCCAGCAGCCGCGGUAAUACGAAGGGUGCAAGCGUUAAUCGGAAUUACUGGGCGUAAAGCGUGCGUAGGCGGUUUGUUAAGUCAGAUGUGAAAGCCCCGGGCUCAACCUGGGAACUGCAUUUGAUACUGGCAGGCUAGAGUGCGGUAGAGGGUGGUGGAAUUCCCGGUGUAGCGGUGAAAUGCGUAGAGAUCGGGAGGAACAUCCGUGGCGAAGGCGGCCACCUGG
rnacentral:rRNA from 1 species